GACGAACGCUGGCGGCAGGCCUAACACAUGCAAGUCGAACGUGAAGCCACCUUCGGGUGGUGGAAAGUGGCAGACGGGUGAGUAACGCGUGGGAACGUGCCUUUCGGUUCGGGAUAACCCAGGGAAACUUGGGCUAAUACCGGAUACGCCCUUCGGGGGAAAGAUUCAUUGCCGAAAGAUCGGCCCGCGUCGGAUUAGCUAGUUGGUGGGGUAAUGGCCUACCAAGGCGACGAUCCGUAGCUGGUCUGAGAGGAUGAUCAGCCACACUGGGACUGAGACACGGCCCAGACUCCUACGGGAGGCAGCAGUGGGGAAUAUUGCACAAUGGGCGAAAGCCUGAUGCAGCCAUGCCGCGUGGGUGAAGAAGGCCUUAGGGUUGUAAACCCCUUUCAGCGGGGAAGAUAAUGACGGUACCCGCAGAAGAAGUCCCGGCUAACUCCGUGCCAGCCGCCGCGGUAA
rnacentral:rRNA from 1 species